GUAACGUUAUCUGCUGAACAUCAUGUUUGAAACGGAGAAGUUGCAGGUAUGUGAUCUGCAUCGAGUAUAUGUAUAGAUGGCAAUUUCAGCACUUUUACUUAAAACUGAUCAAUAUCUGAGGUCGUUUAAAGUCUACUGUUAACGGGAGGUGAUUUGCACAUAAUAUUGACCAUUUUACCCUCAUGUCUCAACUACUUUGACAGCUUAUCAUGUCAUAAGGGUAAUCCUCUCCGUCAUCGUUAUUGAAAAGGAUUAGGUGUAGCGCUAAGAGUGAUAACUGUGUAGCGGUGAAGGAAGGGGUUUCGGAAGCAGAAAAGGAAGAUUAUGUGAAAGCGGGUGGAUCAGACUGGUUUUUGUUCGAAUGUAAUAGAAUAAGGUUUCACAAAACAAAAUUCUUCAUAAGAAUCAGGUGUUUAUUUAUGCUGAACAGGUUAUUGAUCUACAAUUCAAGCAUUAUUGGCUGAUAAGAAUCCGGGAGCCUGUGUUCAAAACGUGCUUAAUUUAUGUUGAACAGGGAGCCUGUCUUCAAAACGUGCUUGAUUCUACAAUUCAAGCAUUAUUGGCUGAUAAGAAUCAGGUUUUUUUAUUGAUUAAGAAGACGAACGGGCCAGUUUGUGCAAACAAGAAACGCAAAGCACUCUGCAAUUCUGUAGACGAGCUAAAACGAGCUCGAGCUCGAAUCCGAGCCUAAAAACAAGCUUAUUUAGUAAACGAUCCCGAGCCCGAGCUUGAGAGAGAGAGAAUGAGAAAAGAGAUCGAUAUAGA